rnacentral:lncRNA from 1 species
CUUAAUUAGGUAGAUACACAUUUAGAGUUUUUCUCACUUUGUUCAAAAAUUUUAGGACGCUUAUACCCCUAUUACCUUUCCAUUGGUUACUGUGAAGUUAUUGCAAACAUAUAUUUUUCUGAUAAUUCAAAACAAUCCGAAACUUUUGCAGUCACACAAGUUGUUGUUUUUUGAUAUAUUUUUGAACAACCUCUUUUUCCUAACUUCCUCUUUCUCACCACGAUCCUUCUUCCUUACCUAAUCUCUCAGCUUCGUAUCAAAACUCUCAUCAGUCUCUUUUGAUUUUGAUCUCUUUCUCUUACAUAUAAAUAUAAUAAUUUAUAUUUAUCCCCCAAACAUCGAUAAUCUCUGAUUUCGGGCUCCUUGGUUGUUGCUGCAACAGGACGCUGCUGCGUUGAUCGGAGCGGUCUUUGCAUGCAUGUUGUUCCGGCUCGUUUGGAAGGAUAUGAAGCUCUCUCUCUCUCUUUGCAACAGGUCGUCGGAGACGACAGAUAGUUGUGCUCUACUCUGUGUUUUCCGGGCAUGUGUCAAGUGAUCCUGCUCUGUAUCCAUAAGUGGGUUGAAGUGGUGUAGUUUAGAGAUUUUAAUAAAGAGCGAGGCUUGAACAUCCAUAAUAAAGUUUGAUAGUUGGUGUUGAUCUGCCCUCUGUUUUAAGCAUGUUUUGUUUGAUCUAAAUCUGUGUUUUGUAAAUCCUUAGCUUUGGUUUUGUUUGAACCAAUUAACAGAGAAUUCUAAACUUUUUUAAUUGUGAUUUUCAAAGUUACAUUGCUAAUG